UCGGCAACGGAUAUCUCGGCUCUCGCAUCGAUGAAGAACGUAGCGAAAUGCGAUACUUGGUGUGAAUUGCAGAAUCCCGUGAACCAUCGAGUCUUUGAACGCAAGUUGCGCCCGACGCCAUUCGGCCGAGGGCACGUCUGCCUGGGUGUCACGC
rnacentral:rRNA from 1 species